GGGCCAUACAUCCAGUGCUGCCACAUUCCAGCAUAGAACCCAGAGGAACUAAGGAUUCCUAAAUUCAAACUUGGUCUUUCAGCCAUUGUGAAGCUAGGAACAAGAACACAGAACACAGAACUGGCCCAGAGUGGUGAGGUUGCUCAGGUUGCAGAGGGCCUGUCAUUUCAGAGGAUGGUGACUGGGUAGCCAGCUGUGAGGCAAAGCCUUUCAGGAGCAAAGGCAAGACCUGAAGAAGGGAGUGUGGACGGCAGCACUUCUGUGGAGGAAGCUGGCUCUAAAGGCUAUUUGAGGAAGGUACCUCACAUAAAUGAACUCUUGUGCUCUGAAAGAAAAGUUUGUUCUUGCCCUGCCUCAAGGUCAGCAGAAAGAAAAUAUUCUCUUACAACAUGGCAUGUAAGAAAUAGAGAAAAGAGGAAAGAAAAUCUAUUUGAAAUAAAGCAACCAUUUCUCAUGAUGAAAAAU
rnacentral:lncRNA from 1 species